rnacentral:rRNA from 1 species
GUGAGGAAUAUUGGUCAAUGGGCGGAAGCCUGAACCAGCCAUGCCGCGUGCAGGACGACGGCCCUACGGGUUGUAAACUGCUUUUCCGGGGGAAGAAUAAGGGCGACGUGUCGCCCGAUGCCGGUACCCCGGGAAUAAGGAUCGGCUAACUCCGUGCCAGCAGCCGCGGUAAUACGGAGGAUCCGAGCGUUAUCCGGAUUUACUGGGUUUAAAGGGUGCGUAGGCGGGCCCCUCAGUCAGCGGUGAAAGGCAGCGGCUCAACCGUUGGAUUGCCGUUGAUACUGGGGGCCUUGGAUUCGGUCGAGGCGGGCGGAAUGCGUGGUGUAGCGGUGAAAUGCUUAGAUAUCACGCAGAACGCCGAUUGCGAAGGCAGCUCGCCGGGCCGUUAUCGACGCUGAGGCACGAAAGCGUGGGGAUCGAACAGGAUUAGAAACCCCUGUAGUCC